rnacentral:rRNA from 1 species
UACAGAGACUGCAAGCGUUAUUCGGAUUCACUGGGCGUAAAGGGUGCGCAGGCGGCCAUGUGUGUCAGGUGUGAAAGCCCGGGGCUUAACCCCGGAAUUGCGCCUGAAACUACAUGGCUAGAGCAUUGGAGAGGGUAGCGGAAUUUACGGUGUAGCGGUGAAAUGCGUAGAUAUCGUAAGGAAGACCAGUGGCGAAGGCGGGUCUCUGGACAGUUCCUGACGCUGAGGCACGAAGGUCAGGGGAGCAAACGGG